rnacentral:rRNA from 1 species
UCCGUAGGGGGCGAUCGUUGUCCGGAUUUACUGGGCGUAAAGGGCGCGUAGGCGGUACGUUAGGUCUGCCGUGAAAUCCCCGGGCUCAACCUGGGAAUGGCGGUGGAAACCGGCGCACUAGAGUAUGGGAGAGGGUGAUGGAAUUCCAGGUGUAGCGGUGAAAUGCGUAGAGAUCUGGAGGAACAUCAGUGGCGAAGGCGGUCACCUGGCCCAAUACUGACGCUGAGGCGCGAAAGCGUGGGGAGCAAACAGG